ensembl:lncRNA
GAAAGGUCCUCCCUUUGGUGAUUUGAGGGCCGUCUGGGUGCCGGCCCUUGAGGGGGGGUCUAGGGCGGGGGCCCGAGCCAGCGACUCCGGCUUCCUGUGUCCCCCAGCCAUCGUCUCCAGAGGUGUUCCGUGUCCCCCAGCCGUCGACUCCGGAGGUGUUAUCUGUCCCCCAGCCGUCGACUCUGGAGGUGUUCCGUGCUUCCCAGCCGACCAUUCCAGAGACGUUCAGUGCCCUGCAGUCGGCGCUCUGGAGCUGGCCAACUGACUGUCCGCCGGGCCGACCCCCGGAGUCUCCCCGGCCGUUUGCCGGGCCAACCCCCAGAAGCUCCCCGGCCACUUGACCGCCCGCCGGGCCGCCCGCCACAGUUCCCCAGGCGGCCCACCAUCGUCUGGUUUCCCUCCCUCCCGCCCCUUGUCUGUUCCUGGUCUGGUUAGGGCCAUCUGGAAUUUGGCCCUUGAGGGGGGAAUUCUGUCACGGUUUUGGUUCAUGUCUGGUUUUAUUUUGUUGUUUCUUGCCUCUGUUCUCCCUGGGUCAUGUUACUUCCUUCCUUGUUCUGUCCUCCUUUGUGAUUGUCUGACACGUCAUGAUUGUUUCCACCUGCGUCCAAUCACCUGCACCUCCCUAGUUUAUUUAAACCAUGUGGGUCUGUUGUCACGUGUCGCAUCAUUGUUAGUUGUUGAAUGUACAGAAGUCCAUGUUCCUGUUUCCUGUCUCCUGUUCCCUGACCUCGUUCAUGCCUUUUUGGAGUUUGAGUUUUUUUGACUAUUAAAGUCCCUUUUUGUUUUCAAAGAAACUCUGCGUCGGAGUCCUACCUUUGCCUUCAACGAACCCGUUCUGACAGGUCCAGAAGCUUUGCAGAACACAUGUUAAUGGAAGUGUCGGCCAGAAACCUCAGGAAUAUCUGCAACAAGUCACUCCAGCAAGUACAGAUGUUACUGGGAUGCGAACAGCAGUCCUCCGUGGCCUUCCUGUCAUCCUUGGUGUUACGCACUCCUCUAAAGAGAGGAUACCGUAGCACGCAGUCACGUGAGCUGGCCACAAGGACGAUGACCAGCAUCUUAACAUCAAACAACAUAAAGAAGUGUUGUUUGAUGAGAGCCCACAAAUCUGCCCGUCAACGUGUCAGGAGACACCACUGUCCUCUCUUAUAACGUGGAAACAAGACAAGGGUCCAAUGAACAAGCAUUUCAUCACCUCCCUCGCUGUUUAGGCUCAUCCUGGCUACUGUUCCUCACUUCUUCUGUCUGUAUUGAUUAUCUGAUAAGGGACACAAACCGUUUGAGGAGUCUCUGGUAGUUUGAGGUCAGCUUGAUGUGUCAGGGUCUUAUUAACCAGGCUGACAGUGGGACAGAGAAAAGUUUUCCAGCUCUACCUCCUCUACAGACUGAUGGUCUGUGGCAGCAGCAGGAUGCUUUAUACCUGAGAGUUUCCAGUGUGCAGCGCGGAUCCUCCACUCCAGCAGACAGGAGCUUCACUCUUGAAUCCCGUAGGCCGUUGUUACUCAGAUCUAGCUCUCUCAGACUAAAGGACUUCGAGCUGAGAACUGAGGACAGAGCUUCACAGCUUCUCUCUGAAAGGUUACAGCCAUCCAGUCUGAGGAGACAACAAUCAACAAGAUGAUAGAGAACAUUUAUGUUGAAAUGAAAUCCUCUUUGAUGGGGAGUU